GAUGAACGCUGGCGGCGUGCCUAAUACAUGCAAGUCGAGCGAACGGACGAGAAGCUUGCUUUUCUGAUGUUAGCGGCGGACGGGUGAGUAACACGUGGAUAACCUACCUAUAAGACUGGGAUAACUUCGGGAAACCGGAGCUAAUACCGGAUAAUAUUUUGAACCGCAUGGUUCAAAAGUGAAAGACGGUCUUGCUGUCACUUAUAGAUGGAUCCGCGCUGCAUUAGCUAGUUGGUAAGGUAACGGCUUACCAAGGCAACGAUGCAUAGCCGACCUGAGAGGGUGAUCGGCCACACUGGAACUGAGACACGGUCCAGACUCCUACGGGAGGCAGCAGUAGGGAAUCUUCCGCAAUGGGCGAAAGCCUGACGGAGUAACGCCGCGUGAGUGAUGAAGGUCUUCGGAUCGUAAAACUCUGUUAUUAGGGAAGAACAUAUGUGUAAGUAACUGUGCACAUCUUGACGGUACCUAAUCAGAAAGCCACGGCUAACUACGUG
rnacentral:rRNA from 1 species